CACUGCUCAGUUUUCUGGUGAAUCAUCGCAUUUUUCCCUCUUCCUUUUUUUUUUAAACGGAUUCUAUCUGAGUAAGCAAUUGUUUCAUGCUCUUAAAUAAACAAACAAAAAGAAAACAAUAGAUGAUAUCACUUCUAACAAUACGAUUCCUAAGAAGUUGAAACACCAGCACGAACUAGCAUUUUUCAAUAGCAGGCGUGAACGGAGUAAAAUGAUUUCCAUUGAAAUGGCUUUUGUAAUCUGUUCUUUUAAGGAUGUUAAAAUAAAACUGUUCUAAAACAUUAA